GGGGCCGUAGCAGAGCCUGGUCACUGCGGCCUCCUUAUAAGGGGUGGUUCAGGGGUUCAAAUCCCCUCGGCCCCA
rnacentral:tRNA from 1 species